rnacentral:RNase_P_RNA from 1 species
UUNGAAGUGCGGGCGUUCGCUUGCCCCUUGCNGGGUGAGAGGAAAGUCCGGACACUAAAGGGCAAGAUUCCCCGUGAAAGCGGGGGCGCGGCAGGGCAACCUGUCGUGACGGAUAGUGUCACAGAAAAUAACCGCCUCACGCCUGCGUGAGGUAAGGGUGAAAAGGAGGGGUAAGAGCCCACCGCUUCAAAGGUAACAAUGAAGGCAAGAUAAACCCAGUUUAGUGCAAGGCAAAAUAGGGGAUCGGGCGGCCCGUCCAAUGAUCUCGGGUAUGCCGCAUCUCGCUUUAGCGAGAAACUUGUACUGCAAGUUAGAUAAAUGAGCGCACAGCCUACCGCUUUAGCGGAAGGCGGACAAAAUCCGGCUUACAGCACUUCGAAGCCG